UUCUCUCUCCUUUGCUUUUCUGCCACGGGAGGACACAAGAGUUCCUCCCCUCUGGAAAAUACAGCAUUCAAAGUGCCAUCUUGGAAGCAAGACUGGACGUUUACUAGACAACAAACCUGCAGAUGCCUGAAUCUAGGACUAUGCAUCCUCCAGAAUGGCUCAUGGAUGGAAGAGACUUGCCUUGUCAUGGAAGAGACAUUGGACUGUGGACUUUUGAGUUAAUGCUGAAAUGAGUUGAGACUUUGGGGGAACUGUUGGGAAGGCAUGAUUCGUUUUCAAAUGUGCAGAUAGGAGAUUUUCAAGGGGCCAGGGGCAGAAUGAUAUGGUUUGGCUCUUUAUCCCUAUCCAAACCUCAUCUUGUAGCUCCCAUAAUUCCCAUGUAUUGUGGGAGGGACAUAGUGGGAGAUGAUUAAAUCAUGGGAACAGGUCUUUCCUGUUCUGCUCUGGUAAUAGUGAAUGGGUCUAACAAGAUCUGAUGGUUUUUAAAACAGGAGUUUCUCUGCACAAGCUUUCUCUUUUCCUGUUACCAUCCAUGUAAGAGGCAAGUUGCUUCUCUUUGCCUUCCACCAUGAUUUUGAGGCCUCCUCAGGCAUGUGGAACUGUAAGUCCAUUAAACCUCUUUUUCUGUAUAAAUUACCCUUUAUACAGCAGCAUGAGAACAGACUAAUAGAUAUCUUUAUCAGCAGCAUGAGAACAGACUAAUAGAAUGUGUUUCCCAUAAACUGCACCAAGCCAUUGGGUAAGCAUAAUUGGGGGUUUAAUGGAGUCCCAUUCCUCCAAUGCAUAGGGCUCCUUUAAUGGGAGAUUUUGCCUCAAAGAUUUUCCAUCAGACUAUCCAAACAUUUCUUAGAACUAUGUGGCAGUCAAGACUCUUCCUACCCAAUUCUCCUUCCUCCCCCUUUUCCUUUGCUAGAGUCAUAACUUCAUCACAUUUUGAAGGCUCUUCCUGCUUUCUCUAGCUUCCUUCUCAUUCUCCUUCUUAGAAUAUAUCUCCAAUAAAUUUCUUGCACCUGU
rnacentral:lncRNA from 1 species